rnacentral:rRNA from 1 species
AGUGCUUGCACUCCGCUGACGACCGGCGCACGGGUGCGCACCGCGUAUGGAACCUACCUUUUGCAGGGGAAUAGCCCAGGGAAACUUGGAUUAAUGCCCCGUAGUAUCAUUGCACCGCCUGGUGUUUUGAUUAAAGCCUUCGGGCGGCGGAAGAUGGCCAUGCGUCCCAUUAGUUUGAUGGUAAGGUAACGGCUUACCAUGACUACGAUGGGUAGGGGCCCUGAGAGGGGGAUCCCCCACACUGGUACUGAGACACGGACCAGACUCCUACGGGAGGCAGCAGUGAGGAAUAUUGGACAAUGGAGGAGACUCUGAUCCAGCCAUGCCGCGUGCAGGAAGACGGCCCUAUGGGUUGUAAACUGCUUUUAUACGGGAAGAAAAACAGCUACGUGUAGUUGACUGACGGUACCGUAAGAAUAAGGACCGGCUAACUCCGUGCCAGCAGCCGCGGUAAUACGGAGGGUCCGAGCGUUAUCCGGAAUUAUUGGGUUUAAAGGGUCCGUAGGCGGGCCAUUAAGUCAGGGGUGAAAGUCUGCAGCUCAACUGUAGAAUUGCCUUUGAUACUGGUGGUCUUGAGUUAUGGUGAAGUGGCUGGAAUAUGUAGUGUAGCGGUGAAAUGCAUAGAUAUUACAUAGAACACCGAUUGCGAAGGCAGGUCACUAACCAUAUACUGACGCUGAUGGACGAAAGCGUGGGGAGCGAACAGGAUUAGAUACCCUGGUAGUCCACGCCGUAAACGAUGGAUACUAGCUGUCCGGGACCUUGAGUCCUGGGCGGCCAAGCGAAAGUGAUAAGUAUCCCACCU